ACAGAGGGUGCAAGCGUUAAUCGGAAUUACUGGGCGUAAAGCGUGCGUAGACGGUUACGUAAGUCAGAUGUGAAAGCCCCGGGCUCAACCUGGGAAUGGCAUUGGAAACUGGCGGGCUUGAGUGUGGCAGAGGGGGGUGGAAUUCCGCGUGUAGCAGUGAAAUGCGUAGAGAUGCGGAGGAACACCGAUGGCGAAGGCAGCCCCCUGGGCUGACACUGACGCUCAGGCACGAAAGCGUGGGGAGCAAAUAGGA
rnacentral:rRNA from 1 species